rnacentral:rRNA from 1 species
AUUGAACGCUGGCGGCAGGCCUAACACAUGCAAGUCGAGCGGAGCGGCGGACGGGUGAGUAAUGCCUAGGAAUCUGCCUGGUAGUGGGGGAGAACGUCCGGAAACGGGCGCUAAUACCGCAUACUAUCAGAUGAGCCUAGGUCGGAUUAGCUAGUUGGUGGGGUAAAGGCCUACCAGGGCGACGAUCCGUAACUGGUCGGAGAGGAUGAUCAGUAAAACUGGAACUGAGACACGGUCCAGACUCCUACGGGAGGCAGCAGUGGGGAAUAUUGGACAAGGGGCGAAAGCCGGAUCCAGCCAUGCCGCGUGUGUGAAGAAGGUCUUAGGAUUGUAAAGCACUUUAAGUUGGGAGGCGUUACCAACAGAAUAAGCACCGGCUAACUUCGUGCCAGCAGCCGCGGUAAUUC